rnacentral:tmRNA from 1 species
GGGGGUGCCCUGGUUUCGACAGGGAUAAAGGGGAUUGCUGAUGCAUGCCGAGAAGAUUACCUACUCGUUAAUCACGGUGAUAAACUAAUUAAACGCAAACGAUAACUUUGCAUUAGCUGCUUAGUUCAGCUACGACCCUGUAAAGCUUGGCUGUUAGGCUUGCAGUAGGUCGCCAUAAUUAAUAGCUAUAAACGGCAGAUGUCUAUGAUGUCGUUCGAAAACUUAUAGGCUGGCUUUCCAGUUUGGUUUGACUGUUUCCCAUCGGGAAAGUGAGAUUAAAAACAGCUAAGCAUGUAGAUUCGGCUUUUGACUUAUCUUUGGACGCGGGUUCGAUUCCCGCCACCUCCACCA